rnacentral:rRNA from 1 species
AUUGAACGCUGGCGGCAGGCCUAACACAUGCAAGUCGAACGGUAACAGGAAACAGCUUGCUGUUUCGCUGACGAGUGGCGGACGGGUGAGUAAUGUCUGGGAAACUGCCUGAUGGAGGGGGAUAACUACUGGAAACGGUAGCUAAUACCGCAUAACGUCGCAAGACCAAAGAGGGGGACCCUCGGGGCCUCUUGCCAUCGGAUGUGCCCAGAUGGGAUUAGCUUGUUGGUGGGGUAACGGCUCACCAAGGCGACGAUCCCUAGCUGGUCUGAGAGGAUGACCAGCCACACUGGAACUGAGACACGGUCCAGACUCCUACGGGAGGCAGCAGUGGGGAAUAUUGCACAAUGGGCGCAAGCCUGAUGCAGCCAUGCCGCGUGUAUGAAGAA